UGUUCACAAUUUAUUGAUUUUACAUAAAUAGUGUAAUUUCUAUAACUCUUUUAUAUUAUUAUUACAACACAUUUCGGACAAUAGCUAGAGAAUACGCUUUGCCUUAACAUAUGUGAUAACGAAAAAUGCUUUAUUUAAAAACAUUUUUAAGUGAGUAUUGUUGUGUCUAGUUUAUUGAAUAAACAUGAAAAUUAUAAGUUCUAAGUGUUGUUUUUGUUUACCCAUUCGCACAGGAUUAUUAAUAAUAUGCUACUUAAAAAUCGCAAUAUGUACCAUCAUCUCCUUAUUCAUGCUGAGUAACAGACUAGAGUCUUUGGGUAACCCAGAUGAUAAUAUAUUCAAAUAUAUUGUAUUGGGACUAAUAUCCGUCCUGGAAUUCAUUUUCAGCAUAGUACUUAUUACUGGAAUCCACAAGAAACACGUCCCAAUUGUUCGUGUUACAUACAUCUACAAUGUCCUGAUGAUGGGUAUCCAGAUACUCAUUGCUAUCAUCUACGUUCCACUUCAGACUUAUGAGCUCUUUGUAACUGGAAGAGGAGAUGAUCCCCUAUUCAUGUUAAUGGCUGCUAUACUGCUAGUAGUCGUAUUGCAACUCUACGUGGCAUCGCUGGUGCGAAGACAUCUCGCCCAGAUGCGGCAGCUGUGUGUGUCCGACCCAAACAGUUCAACGUAUUCACCACGAAAGCCUUAUGUCGUAUAUUAAUCUUAGUUCAAUUUAUAUAAUCCCCUUAUAUACAUUAAUUAUAUACUACUUACAUAGUUUAACUCAAAUUUCACCUAGAAAUAAUAGGAGCUAACUUAAAAUACUGAAGGAAUCAUAUUAGACCGUGAUUAAAAAUAUAUGCUUAAGACCUGCAUCUGUAUGAAUAGAAAAUAUGCAUUUGUCUAAUAUUAGAUAAAACAGUGUUGUUUCGUUGUACAAGGCUUAAAGAUUUAAAAUUAUUAAAAUGCCAGUAAAACCCCAUUUAGUCAAGUAACUGUGUGUAUUUGUCUAUACGCUGAUUUUUAUUUUGUAGAAUUCUGACACCUAUCAUUGUUUGACAUGUCAGAGAUUACAAACCUUUUUGGCCGAGCACAUUUUUCAAUUUUAAUUCGAUCUAAAUAUCUGACUCUACAUUUUAUUUGGUAGGGAAUGUAUUUGAUUAAGUGCGGUGCUCCACAUGAAAAGUCGUUGAACAGCGAGUGAUAAUAAUUAAGUCCCAUCCAUCACAAACAGUAAAUAACGUAACAAGCAAAGAUAACAUUGAAUUUUUUAAACAGGUUUACUAAACCUGGAAUUAGAAGGUAAUGCCUAGCUGGCAU